rnacentral:tRNA from 1 species
CCGUAUAUAGUUUAAUAAUAAAAAUGUAAUAUUAGGGUUAUUGAGAUUUUUUACUGG